UACAGAGGGUGCAAGCGUUGUUCGGAAUUAUUGGGCGUAAAGGGCGCGUAGGCGGUGCUGUAAGUCUGUGGUGAAAUCUCUGGGCUCAACUCAGAGUCUGCCAUAGAAACUGCAGUGCUGGAGUGUGGGAGAGGUGAGUGGAAUUCCCGGUGUAGCGGUGAAAUGCGUAGAUAUCAAGUGGAACACCAGUGGCGAAGGCGAGUCUCUGGACAUUUCCUGACGCUGAGGCACGAAAGCCAGGGGAGCAAACGGG
rnacentral:rRNA from 1 species